rnacentral:rRNA from 1 species
GACGAACGCUGGCGGCGUGCUUAACACAUGCAAGUCGAACGGAAAGGCCCUGCUUUUGUGGGGUGCUCGAGUGGCGAACGGGUGAGUAACACGUGAGUAACCUGCCCUUGACUUUGGGAUAACUUCAGGAAACUGGGGCUAAUACCGGAUAGGAGCUACUGCUGCAUGGUGGGGGUUGGAAAGUUUCGGCGGUUGGGGAUGGACUCGCGGCUUAUCAGCUUGUUGGUGGGGUAGUGGCUUACCAAGGCUUUGACGGGUAGCCGGCCUGAGAGGGUGACCGGCCACAUUGGGCCUGAGAUACGGCCCAGACUCCUACGGGAGGCAGCAGUGGGGAAUAUUGCACAAUGGGCGGAAGCCUGAUGCAGCAACGCCGCGUGCGGGAUGACGGCCUUCGGGUUGUAAACCGCUUUCGCCUGUGACGAAGCGUGAGUGACGGUAAUGGGUAAAGAAGCACCGGCUAACUACGUG